UGGAUAACCUACCUAUAAGACUGGGAUAACUUCGGGAAACCGGAGCUAAUACCAGAUAACAUGUUGAACCGCAUGGUUCAACAGUGAAAGACGGUCUUGCUGUCACUUAUAGAUGGAUCCGCGCCGCAUUAGCUAGUUGGUAAGGUAACGGCUUACCAAGGCAACGAUGCGUAGCCGACCUGAGAGGGUGAUCGGCCACACUGGAGCUGAGACACGGUCCAG
rnacentral:rRNA from 1 species